rnacentral:lncRNA from 1 species
GAAGCUAGUGGUUGUGGAUCCUAUUUCUACAUAGCUAGUUCCUUGUGCAUUGUAUAGGUCAAAAAACUCUUGGGUGGAUUUGCUUCUGCUUCUUUGUAUCAGUCACUGAUCUGUAAAAUACUGUGCCAUUGACAAAUUUUUAUUACUCUAUGUAAUCUACUAGUUAUUGUAUCAUCUUCUACAGAAUGACAUCUGCUGACAUUUUUUCUCCAUUUCAUACAGAAUAUGAGAGAAGGAGUGUUCCCACUAAUGCACGUUGUUCUGACAAAAAUUUCACAGGGGAGUAUCAGGCUGACUUCAAAUCAUGCUCUAAUCUAUACGAGAAGGAAGAAGAUGAUUAUGAGACAAUAAAUUCUUCCACUCUGGAACCCAUACAUACUUUGAGAAUCCUUCCUCCCAAACCUGUACAGGAAUCUGAAUAUGCAGACAAACGUUAUCUGAUGCCUUCAGGUAUCACUUCCGAGAUGAGCAGCCAGCACCCCUCUCAGUCACCUCAAUACUUGGCUAAACGCACGUCUGCUCUAGAGGGGAGGAGCAUGCUGACUAUUAGAGGUAUAAUUAAAAAAUCUGUUUCUGCAAUCAGAAAUAGAAUAUGGUGAUUCCAUAUUUAGCUUUGUUAUAUAGGUACACAUUGAAGAUGAUAGAAAAGACAGUUUUCAGAACAGCAGCUGCUUUCCAAAUUAAACCUGCUGCAAAAUGUGGAAUGCUGUUUCGACAACCAAAUAUUUAAGUAAUUAUUUAACAAAGGAGAUACAUUUUAUCCCAUGAGCACCUUGUUUCUCAAUGGAAAUAUAUUUAUAAAAGCUAUCUGACAACGUUCUCCUACUCAGAACAUGCUAAAUCUAUAGUAUUACCUGGUAUAUAUUUGUUUCUCCACUGCGUUUGUUCUAUUUCUUGUGACAAAUUUGUAGACAGACUGCAAUCUUAUUCUUCAAGAACUUAAUG